rnacentral:rRNA from 1 species
UUGGUCGUAGACCCGAAACCAGGUGAUCUACCCUUGGUCAGGUUGAAGUUCAGGUAACACUGAAUGGAGGACCGAACCGACUUACGUUGAAAAGUGAGCGGAUGAACUGAGGGUAGCGGAGAAAUUCCAAUCGAACUUGGAGAUAGCUGGUUCUCUCCGAAAUAGCUUUAGGGCUAGCCUCAAGUGAUGAUUAUUGGAGGUAGAGCACUGUUUGGACGAGGGGCCCCUCUCGGGUUACCGAAUUCAGACAAACUCCGAAUGCCAAUCAAUUUAACUUGGGAGUCAGAACAUGGGUGAUAAGGUCCGUGUUCGAAAGGGAAACAGCCCAGACCACCAGCUAAGGUCCCAAAAUAUAUGUUAAGUGGAAAAGGAUGUGGCGUUGCCCAGACAACUAGGAUGUUGGCUUAGAAGCAGCCAUCAUUUAAAGAGUGCGUAAUAGCUCACUAGUCGAGUGACACUGCGCCGAAAAUGUACCGGGGCUAAACAUAUUACCGAAGCUGUGGAUUGUCCUUCGGACAAUGGUAGGAGAGCGUUCUAAGGGCGUUGAAGCAUGAUCGCAAGGACAUGUGGAGCGCUUAGAAGUGAGAAUGCCGGUGUGAGUAGCGAAAGACGGGUGAGAAUCCCGUCCACCGAUUGACUAAGGUUUCCAGAGGAAGGCUCGUCCGCUCUGGGUUAGUCGGGUCCUAAGCUGAGGCCGACAGGCGUAGGCGAUGGAUAACAGGUUGAUAUUCCUGUACCACCUAGUAUCGUUUUAAUUGAUGGGGGGACGCAGUAGGAUAGGCGAAGCGUGCUGUUGGAGUGCACGUCCAAGCAGUAAGGCUGAGUGUUAGGCAAAUCCGGCACUCGUUAGGCUGAGCUGUGAUGGGGAGAGGAAAUUGUUUCCUCGAGUCGUUGAUUUCACACUGCCGAGAAAAGCCUCUAGAUAGAUAACAGGUGCCCGUACCGCAAACCGACACAGGUAGUCAAGAUGAGAAUUCUAAGGUGAGCGAGCGAACUCUCGUUAAGGAACUCGGCAAAAUGACCCCGUAACUUCGGGAGAAGGGGUGCUCUUUAGGGUUCACGCCCAGAAGAGCCGCAGUGAAUAGGCCCAAGCGACUGUUUAUCAAAAACACAGGUCUCUGCUAAACCGUAAGGUGAUGUAUAGGGGCUGACGCCUGCCCGGUGCUGGAAGGUUAAGAGGAGUGGUUAGCUUCUGCGAAGCCACGAAUCGAAGCCCCAGUAAACGGCGGCCGUAACUAUAACGGUCCUAAGGUAGCGAAAUUCCUUGUCGGGUAAGUUCCGACCCGCACGAAAGGCGUAACGAUUUGGGCACUGUCUCAACGAGAGACUCGGUGAAAUCAUAGUACCUGUGAAGAUGCAGGUUACCCGCGACAGGACGGAAAGACCCCGUGGAGCUUUACUGUAGCCUGAUAUUGAAAUUCGGCACAGCUUGUACAGGAUAGGUAGGAGCCAUUGAAACGUGAGCGCUAGCUUACGUGGAGGCGUUGGUGGGAUACUACCCUAGCUGUGUUGGCUUUCUAACCCGCACCACUUAUCGUGGUGGGAGACAGUGUCAGGCGGGCAGUUUGACUGGGGCGGUCGCCUCCUAAAAGGUAACGGAGGCGCUCAAAGGUUCCCUCAGAAUGGUUGGAAAUCAUUCACAGAGUGUAAAGGCAUAAGGGAGCUUGACUGCGAGACCUACAAGUCGAGCAGGGUCGAAAGACGGACUUAGUGAUCCGGUGGUUCCGCAUGGAAGGGCCAUCGCUCAACGGAUAAAAGCUACCCCGGGGAUAACAGGCUUAUCUCCCCCAAGAGUUCACAUCGACGGGGAGGUUUGGCACCUCGAUGUCGGCUCAUCGCAUCCUGGGGCUGUAGUCGGUCCCAAGGGUUGGGCUGUUCGCCCAUUAAAGCGGUACGCGAGCUGGGUUCAGAACGUCGUGAGACAGUUCGGUCCCUAUCCGUCGUGGGCGUAGGAAAUUUGAGAGGAGCUGUCCUUAGUACGAGAGGACCGGGAUGGACAUACCUCUGGUGUACCAGUUGUCGUGCCAACGGCAUAGCUGGGUAGCUAUGUAUGGACGGGAUAAGUGCUGAAAGCAUCUAAGCAUGAAGCCCCCCUCAAGAUGAGAUUUCCCAACUUCGGUUAUAAGAUCCCUCGAAGAUGACGAGGUUAAUAGGUUCGAGGUGGAAGCGUGGUGACACGUGGAGCUGACGAAUACUAAUCGAUCGAAGACUUAAUCAAU